GCCAAAUACAACACUCGCUUUAAGACUCCAAAGACUAGCUUGUGGCCAAGCAUCAAUCAGCACAAGCCUUUUCCUCCAAAGGAUUCAGGCUGGUAUUCAUUAGACGAUCAAGUUCUAUACAGGUUCUCUUGACCUGGUGGCCCUGCUUCUGCUGUUCUGCUGUUCUGCUACUGUAGCCUGCUAUCCAAGCAAAUUUGGGGAAGUGCUCUGCUUUUCAAAGGCUCCACAAGAGCUCAUGGCAGUGAAAUUUAACAACACAGCUUCUGCCCUUCCUCAAGUUGCCUCCACCUUCUAGAACCUUCUCCAGUCUGCCUCAUCUUCUGGCUAACCUUGCCUUGAGUCUCAACGAGUUACUAUUGCUGCCCAUGGAAUACUACUUUCUGGGACCUCCAGCUCUCUGUCUCCUCCUGGGAAGAUGUACCUGUUAUAAGAAGAACCAAUAGUCAUCAAUCUUUGGUUGUCAGUAGAAGCAGAAAGAAUACAAACAGACAAGUGCCAGAGAAUUCUAGGAUCAUCUGCAUCACUUGGAGGAGGAAGUCUGAAAACCUAAGGUUCUUACUCUCACUGUUCCUCCAACUGGCUAGAUGCCUGGAAGUAAGUCAUGGCAUAUCCCCUGUCUCCGUGGCUUGUAGGUUUUGAUAGCCUUUCAGUAGGUGUGUCAGUAAGACCAGAGAAAAGAUUUGUCACUGCAAUUCCUUUGGCUUCCCUUGGGAUCUCUUUCUUUCACCCAGGGCUGGUCCAGGUGGGCUGGCAUCUGGGUGGAGGCUGGAUGCAUGCCCUGACAGCCCUCCAUGAUCUGUGAGCCAAGCAAAGUCUGCCUGCUGCCAGAGUGGGACUGUGCCUGAGAUCUGGCAACACCCGGCCAGCAUGUCCUAUCAAGGCUGAACUAAAAAUAGGUCUUAUGCAUAGAGCCUAGAAAAACCAGCAGCCCAGCACACAGAGGUUGGCUAAUCAUCAGAUCGAACCAAGCUGCCACCACCACUCUAGGUACCAGCACCAUACGGGUGUCACCUCCAUCUGACACAGGUAGAACAACUGAGCAAACGUUCUCAUGGUUUACCGAUUUUCCCAUCUCUAAUUCCUGCACAGCAACCUUCCCAUAACUGUUGCUGUCAGCUCCACUUAAGAUUCUUUCUUUAUACCACCCGUGUUCCUCCCAGCAUCUUUGUGAAAGGGGACUAGAGGAUGAGCACAUAUGAAAUGUUUAAAUAGUAGGAGUCACAGAAGACCUUGACACAGGCAUGAGUCUACAGUGGGGACCCAGGGUGAAGAGCAGAAUGAAAAUGAGACCCAGGUUCCCUGUCUGCCCAGCCAAUCUCCAGAACUUCAGGGCCAGUCCCCAGAGGCAGACUGGCUGUUCCCAACAGUGCUUAGGGAACAACAUGCCCCCGCCUUGCCCCUAGGCUACUGCCAGCAUUUGGAUAGUUUCCCCUUUGGUUGUUUAUGACUGGAGACAGCACAGCUGUAAACAUCCAACAUCUGAACAUAGAUGGCCGCUUUAUUUUGGAUUAUUUUUUUUCCUUGAGCUCACAUCCUCCAAGUAGAAUUACUGGGUCAAAAAGUACAGACAGUAUUACAGCUCAAGGAAAGCUAGAGUCUUUGAGCCUGCCAGGAGGAGGGACUUCCCAUUUUCCCAGAGGGCUUCAGCGGCUGGGGAUGCUGGUGUUAAGUCUGGAGGGGAAGAAGAGCCCUGGGCUGAAUCCUCAGAUCAACGAUUGAUACAACUGUGGCUGGCAGGAAGUUACACCAGUCUUAGGCAUCCCAGCACCCAUGAAUGACUAUCCCAGCUCUUACUGAAGUGUUGCCUGCAUCUGGGUAUGGAAAUACAGCAAAGAAGCAUACUUGGCUACAAGAUCAUUACUUUCCAGUUGGGCUCUUAUGAACUGCCUUCACCUCCCUAAAGCCUGCAGUUGGUGACCCUCCUCUGAUCCUUGACAGCUUUUUCUGGGCCCCCCAAAAUGCCGGCCCUGAACCAAGAAUGAACUCAGAUAAGUGAAUAAGCUCCAGGAAGCUUAGCGUCCCUCACAGGGUGGCUCUAAUAAAUUCCAGAAAACAAAAAGCAGGUGUUGGCCAUCUUUCUCCUGCCCAAAGAGUUAUUUACACAAGUUUCCACAGCAAUCCGCUUCAUCGUUUGACAUGCCUAUUACACGGUUCUCUUUGGGGAAAGGUCUGGAGUUAGUUAGCUCGGUGGAUUAGAGAGCAAGUCCCUCAAGGCCAAGGGCAAUGAAAGCCUUUUCCUUCUCUCCACUCCCCCAUUCAUUCACAGUGCCUGUGCCCUGCCAGGUCGUCCGUCCUGUUAGAGAAUGAGCCCAGACAAUGCUCCUCACUCCUCUCUUCUGAAGGCAGCCAAAGCGCAGAUAGAAGAAGGUCAGUAGUAUUGGUCCCACUAAACAAUGGAUGGAAUUGAAUUCCUCAAAGAGUAAGAGGCCCUCAAUGUUCUCGGCACAUCCAAGGGGCCGAACUGCUUUCUGGACCUCUUCAAAGCUGAACAUUCUCAAUACCAGAAGUCCGUGACACAAAGAAGAACAAACAUGCUAUGACUUCUCCAGCUAGGAUCCUGUCAUGACUUUGAGCUAUGUGGGACUCAUGGUGGUGAUUGCUCCAACUUCGGACACAGUUUGUAAUUUACCUGUAAGGUUCUCCUGAAAUUGCUGACACUCUUG
ensembl:lncRNA LOC120102924 uncharacterized LOC120102924